AGAGUUUGAUCCUGGCGUCAGGACGAACGCUGGCGGCGUGCUUAACACAUGCAAGUCGAACGGAAAGGCCUCUUCGGAGGUACUCGAGUGGCGAACGGGUGAGUAACACGUGGGCAAUCUGCCCUGCACUUCGGGAUAAGCCUGGGAAACUGGGUCUAAUACCGGAUAGGACCUCAAGACGCAUGUCUUCUGGUGGAAAGCUUUUGCGGUGUGGGAUGGGCCCGCGGCCUAUCAGCUUGUUGGUGGGGUGACGGCCCUACCAAGGCGACGACGGGUAGCCGGCCUGAGAGGGUGUCCGGCCACACUGGGACUGAGAUACGGCCCAGACUCCUACGGGAGGCAGCAGAAGGG
rnacentral:rRNA from 1 species